rnacentral:rRNA from 1 species
UCACGUCAAGGUACUGCAGAAAAAAGAAAUGCAAAAUCCAAUCCAAUUUUUUGUAAUCGAUUAGUUAACAUGGUGGUUAACCAUAUUAUGAAAGACGGAAAAAGUCAUUGGCUUAUCAAAUUCUCUAUCGAGCCGUGAAAAAGAUUCAACAAAAGAUAGAAACAAAUCCACUAUUGGUUUUACGUCAAGCAAUACAUAGAGUAA